rnacentral:rRNA from 1 species
CGCGUAGGCGGCCACCGCAAGUCGACUGUGAAAUCUCCGGGCUUAACCCGGAACGGUCAGCCGAUACUGCGGGGCUAGAGUGCAGAAGGGGCAACUGGAAUUCUCGGUGUAGCGGUGAAAUGCGUAGAUAUCGAGAGGAACACCUGCGGCGAAGGCGGGUUGCUGGGCUGACACUGACGCUGAUGUGCGAAAGCUAGGGGAGCGAACG